rfam:Drosophila mojavensis strain TSC#15081-1352.22 Ctg01_10455, whole genome shotgun sequence.
CCUUCGAUAGCUCAGUUGGUAGAGCGGUGGACUGUAGACAGUGAAACACAAGUGUUGUGUAGAUAUCCAUAGGUCGCUGGUUCAAAUCCGGCUCGAAGGA